GGUUGAAACAACCUUAACCUAUUCUCAAACUUUAAAUAUGUAAGAAGUCCUUGUUACUUAGUUGAACGUGGACAUUUGAAUGUAUCGUUACUAGUGGGCCAUUUUUGGUAAGCAGAACUGGCGAUGCGGGAUGAACCGAACGUGAGGUUAAGGUGCCGGACUGCACGCUCAUCAGACACCACAAAAGGUGUCAAUGCAUCUAGACAGCCGGACGGUGGCCAUGGAAGUCGGAAUCCGCUUAGGAGUGUGUAACAACUCACCGGCCGAAUGCAUUGGCCCUGAAAAUGGAUGGCGCUUAAGCGUGCGACCUAUACCUCGCCGUC
rnacentral:rRNA from 1 species